GUCAAACUGGUGACUGCGUGGUGUUGCGGGCUCGGUCCAUUAGUCAUCCCACAAGGGUGAUUAGCGUGUUAACCGGCCCGCCCGUCCCCUCCUUCUGGAUUCCCGUUCCUGCUAUUGAGUUAGUGGGGACGUCACAGGGAGCUGUAUCAUUGCCUUCACGGGCCAGUGGUACAGUUUCUGGGGCCCAGAUCGUUUACCGUGAAAAAAUUAGAGUGUUCAAAGCAGGCAGAUACAAUUUUCUGCCACCGAAUACAUUAGCAUGGGAUAAUGGAAUAGGACCCUGUCCUCCUAUUUUCAGUUGGUUAGAGGAUCAGGGUAAUGAUUAAUAGGGAUAGUUGGGGGCAUUAAUAUUUAAUUGUCAGAGGUGAAAUUCUUGGAUUUAUGAAAGAUUAACUUCUGCGAAAGCAUCUGCCAAGGAUGUUUUCAUUAAUCAAGAACGAAAGUUAGGGGAUCGAAGACGAUCAGAUACCGUCGUAGUCUUAACCAUAAACGAUGCCGACCAGCGAUUAGGAGACGUUGAAUACAAAACACCACCACUACAUAAUUCAGUACAUCGGCCAGUCAAAUGGUUGUGUAUUGUUUGUGUAUGGCACCGGUGAAUGACUCCCCUAGCAGCUUGUGAGAAAUCAUAAGUCUUUUGGGUUCCGGGGGGAGUAUGGUCGCAAGGCUGAAACUCUAAAGGAAUUGACGGAAGGGCACCACCA
rnacentral:rRNA from 1 species